ensembl:snoRNA Gm22470 small nucleolar RNA SNORA17
CCAAUCCUUAGGAGGGUUGCAGGUGUUACUGCUGUGUCACAUGCAUCUGUAGGUGUCAGAAAGGAGAGAGGCUAUGUCUACACUCACUGUUCCGACCUAUGAACCUAUAUGAUUAGUGACAACAUU